AGGAGGCUGGCCUCUGCAGGUUCAUCUCCUGGCUCGCCACCUGGCUUCUAGCUCCACUUGCCCAGUGAGAGGCCCAGGAGCCAGGUACUGAGUGACAUAAACUGAUUCAUUCUAACAUCAGUGUCUGGCAAGUGGUUGAAAGCUAGCCUUUCCUUGGACAGUAAAAAACAAAUUCUGGUUACUAAGACAACUAUUCUCAACCUUGGUCACUCACCCAGAGCCAGACAUCCUGGAGUGUGAAAUCAAAUGGGCCUUAGGAAGCGUUACUAUGAACAAAGCUAAUGGAGGUGAUGGAAUUCCCGAUACUGUUAAAGUGCUGUACUCAAUAUGCCAGCAAAUUUGGAAAACGCAGCAGUGGCCACAGGACUGGAAAAAGUUAGUUUUCAUUCUAAUCUCAAAGAAAAGCAAUGCCAAAGAAUGCUCAAUCUACUGUACAAUUGGGCUCAUUUCACAUGCUAACGAGGUAACACUCAAAAUCCUUCAAGCUAGGCCUUAGCAGUACACAAACCAAGAAUUUCCAGACAUACCAGCUGAAUUUAAAAAGGC
ensembl:lncRNA